AAACCAGCACCUCAAGUGGUCAGGAUGAUUAUUGGGCCUAAAGCAUCCGUAGCCUGGUGCAUAAGUUUUCGGUUAAAUCCAUAUGCUCAACAUAUGGGCCGCCGGGAAUACUGUGCACCUAGGGAGUGGGAGAGGAAGACGGUACUCGGGAAGAAGGGGUAAAAUCCUUUGAUCUCUCGAUGACCACCUGUGGCGAAGGCGGUCUACCAGAACACGUUCGACGGUGAGGGAUGAAAGCUGGGGGAGCAAACCGGAUUAGAAACCCGAGUAGUCC
rnacentral:rRNA from 1 species